GACGAACGCUGGCGGCGUGCUUAACACAUGCAAGUCGAACGGACCUUCGGGUUAGUGGCGAACGGGUGAGUAACACGUGGGUGAUCUGCCCUGCACUUUGGGAUAAGCCUGGGAAACUGGGUCUAAUACCGGAUAGGACCACGCAUUUUAUGGUGUGUGGUGGAAAGCUUUUGCGGUGUGGGAUGGGCCCGCGGCCUAUCAGCUUGUUGGUAGGGUAAUGGCCUACCAAGGCGACGACGGGUAGCCGGCCUGAGAGGGUGACCGGCCACCCUGUGACUGGGAGACGGACCAGAGUCCUACGGGAGGCAGCAGGGGUGAAUCUUGCACAAUGGGCGCAAGCCUGAUGCAGCGACGCCGCGUGAGGGAUGACGGGCUUCGGGUUGUAAGCCUCUUGUGCCAGGGCCGAAGCGCAAGUGACUGUACCUGGAUAAGAAGGACCGGCCAACUACGUGCCAGCAGCCGCCGCCGUAA
rnacentral:rRNA from 1 species